GCCGCUGCGGCUUGAUUUUUUUUAUUAAAACAGGAUAGAUAUCCGUGUAAAUUAAUUAUAAAUAAAAUAAACUGGGGCAUGACCAGAUAGUGAAAACUCCCUUGUGUAUAUGGACAAACGGUACCCCGCAAGUCGCGAUCACGGAAUUCCGGAACAUCGAUAGAUGACACGCCGCCCAGCCAGGAGUGGAAUAAAAUAAAAUGUUCAAUACUCGCAAUGAGCAGCUUCAUCGUUUGGAAUUCCCGAUAUGAUAAUCCGAUUUACAAAAAAGCCCAUCAGAUAAAAAACCGGAUGUCGAUCCGGGUUUUGACUCAACGAUGGGAACAUAUUUGCCGAGGACUCUCAUAGGGAUGGAACAAAAACAGGAUAGUCGAAACGGAAUAAAAACAACGAGCGGUUGUUUUGCAGCAGAAAGGAACGCUAAAUGUAACGAAAAGUUGACGAGAAAGCGGUUCAACUCGAUCAGCUAGUCCAGUCAAACUUUCAGCUAUGCGAGAUUCUCACGUACAAGAAUAAUUUGUGGCUCGCUGUCAGACGAUCGGUUACUGUAAUUAGUUACUAUAGAUGUCCAAGCAUAAGGAGCUGUAGAUGUAGUUGUCGACU